GCCCUUAGCAAAACAAGUAUCAAGGGUCCCGCCUGCCCAGUGAAAUAUUAACGGCCGCGGUAUUCUAACCGUGCAAAGGUAGCGUAAUCAUUUGUCUCCCAAAUAGAGACCGGUAUGAACGGCUAAAUGAGGACAAACCUGUCUCUUACGACUAAUCAGUGAAACUGAUCUCCCAGUACAAAAGCUGGGAUAUAACCAUUAGACGAGAAGACCCCGUGGAGCUUCAAACCUACUAUUAAAAAGCAUUAAAUCAACUGCACCUAAUACGCGGUUUUAAGUUGGGGCGACUUCGGAACAAAACAAAACUUCCGAGCACAGAACCAUAAAUUCUGAUAAAGGCCCACCAGCCACAAUCAAAAUCCUCCAGACCCAGUACCACUGAUAAACGAACCAAGUUACCCCGGGGAUAACAGCGCCAUCUUCUUCAAGAGUCCAUAUCGACAAGAAGGUUUACGACCUCGAUGUUGGAUCAGGACACCCAAAUGGUGCAGCCGCUAUUAAAGGUUCGUUUGUUCAACGAUUAACAGUCCUACGUGAUCUGAGUUCAG
rnacentral:rRNA from 1 species